CUGAAACUUGAUCUUGUUUUAGUUGAACUAUUCAUGAAGCUUCUGAGUUCAGUGUGGGAGUGGGGAAGUGAGAGAGCUACCAACCACUCUCCUUUUAUAAUAGGGGGUUGAUAAAAAGAGGAGAGGCUGCCAAGAGAUGUGCUUGAGUAGGAAGAGACUCCCCUGGUAACAGCCAAAUCCAGCCUCGGAUAUCACUCUCUUAAAAGGAUAUGACAAAUCUGAAGAUAUACCUGAGGAGGUAGCUGUAGCUGGACAAUGGUAAAGAGGCACAUGCCCCCAUGGAAGAUUCAAGCCUGUCUAGCAGUGUUGAUGUGGACAAAGGCUUUGCCAUUGCCUUUGUUGUUCUUCUGUUUCUAUUCCUAAUAGUGAUGAUUUUUCGGUGUGCCAAGUUGGUGAAGAAUCCCUACAAGGCCGGCUCCACAACCACAGAACCAUCUCUGAGCUGAAGUAUGAUAAAACCUUGUAGACUCCCCCUCACAAGAGAUUUGAAAUCUUUUACACAGACUAUUACAAUAUAGAUUUCAUAUUAUUUCACUUC